AGUGAACCAGUACCGUGAGGGAAAGGCGAAAAGAACCCCGGCGAGGGGAGUGAAAAAGAACCUGAAACCGUGUACGUACAAGCAGUGGGAGCACAGAGCAAUCUGUGUGACUGCGUACCUUUUGUAUAAUGGGUCAGCGACUUAUAUUCUGUAGCAAGGUUAACCGAAUAGGGGAGCCGAAGGGAAACCGAGUCUUAACUGGGCGUUAAGUUGCAGGGUAUAGACCCGAAACCCGGUGAUCUAGCCAUGGGCAGGUUGAAGGUUGGGUAACACUAACUGGAGGACCGAACCGACUAAUGUUGAAAAAUUAGCGGAUGACUUGUGGCUGGGGGUGAAAGGCCAAUCAAACCGGGAGAUAGCUGGUUCUCCCCGAAAGCUAUUUAGGUAGCGCCUCGUGAAUUCAUCUCCGGGGGUAGAGCACUGUUUCGGCAAGGGGGUCAUCCCGACUUACCAACCCGAUGCAAACUGCGAAUACCGGAGAAUGUUAUCACGGGAGACACACGGCGGGUGCUAACGUCCGUCGUGAAGAGGGAAACAACCCAGACCGCCAGCUAAGGUCCCAAAGUCAUGGUUAAGUGGGAAACGAUGUGGGAAGGCCCAGACAGCCAGGAUGUUGGCUUAGAAGCAGCCAUCAUUUAAAGAAAGCGUAAUAGCUCACUGGUCGAGUCGGCCUGCGCGGAAGAUGUAACGGGGCUAAACCAUGCACCGAAGCUGCGGCAGCGACACUGUGUGUUGUUGGGUAGGGGAGCGU
rnacentral:rRNA from 1 species